GACGUAGGUGGCGACCGUUAUCCGGAAUUACUGGGCGUAAAGCGUGCGUAGGUGGUGAGUUAAGUCUGUCGUGAAAGCCCCGGGCUCAACCUGGGAAUGGCGAUGGAUACUGGCUCGCUAGAGUGCGGUAGAGGAGAGUGGAAUUCCCGGUGUAGCAGUGAAAUGCGUAGAGAUCGGGAGGAACAUCAGUUGCGAAGGCGGCUCUCUGGACCAGCACUGACACUGAGGCACGAAAGCGUGGGGAGCAAACAGG
rnacentral:rRNA from 1 species